AAAUUAUUCUUUUCAUCUAUGUUAAACAUAUUAAAAAAAUAAAAAAUCAAAAUUAUUCUUCAUCUGCCUUCGGAAACCUUCUCGUUCAGCUACGAAGGUUUCAGUGUUCCUCGUCUUCUCUCCUCUUCCUAUCCUCUCUCUCUGUCUCUGUCUGCUCAUCGAUCUCUCUCAUCUGUCUCUCCUGGUCAGGGUUCACCGCCAAUGGCACGAGGCCCGCCACCUCCGAUGCCGCCUGGGCAAUUUGCACCACCCAGGCCCAGUGGUGGGCCUCCCAGCCUUUCCCUGUUCCGCCACAGUUUGGGCAACAGCCUAUGGGUCCUCCACCACCUGGUCAGAUGGUGAGAGGGCCUCCUGCUCCGCCAAGGCCGGGGAUUCCCGCCCCGUCUCCGCCUCAUCCUGGGAUGCCUCCUCCACCUGGCAGCGGCGUUCCGGUGUUCGAACCUCCUCGCCCAGGCAUGCCUUCUCCACCGAACCCACAAAACCAGCAACAACAGUAGUGCUAAAUUCGAGUUGUUAUUGUUGGUGCUCUGAAGAAUUGAAGAUUUGGACCUUGGACAUGUGCAUGUUGCAAACCAUCUUGUAGUUAAGCGGUGAUUGUUGCUUGUACAACCUAGAUCAUUCUCUUGUUAGGGAAUUUUUUAAAAUGUGUUGAUGAGAAGUUAUAUGUUAGAAAAUCAUGUUUUCGGGGAGGUUAUGCUAUUGCAGCCUGAGCAUUAGACUUAUAAAUCAAUUGUGUAGAUUGUCAAGAAAGGAACAAAAAUAUGAUGCUGGAUUGCAAAGACAGUGUACUGAUUUGUGAGUGUAGGACCGAUCUGUGACCCCCAUAUAUUUCCGAUUACAUAAUAUACUUAUGACUUGGGUAA